GUGCCAGCAGCCGCGGUAAUACGUAGGUGGCAAGCGUUGUCCGGAUUUAUUGGGCGUAAAGCGAGCGCAGGCGGUUUCUUAAGUCUGAUGUGAAAGCCUUCGGCUCAACCGAAGAAGUGCAUCGGAAACUGGGAAACUUGAGUGCAGAAGAGGACAGUGGAACUCCAUGUGUAGCGGUGAAAUGCGUAGAUAUAUGGAAGAACACCAGUGGCGAAGGCGGCUGUCUGGUCUGUAACUGACGCUGAGGCUCGAAAGCAUGGGUAGCAAACAGGAUUAGAUACCCUGGUAGUCCAUGCCGUAAACGAUGAGUGCUAGGUGUUGGAGGGUUUCCGCCCUUCAGUGCCGCAGCUAACGCAUUAAGCACUCCGCCUGGGGAGUACGACCGCAAGGUUGAAACUCAAAGGAAUUGACGGGGGCCCGCACAAGCGGUGGAGCAUGUGGUUUAAUUCGAAGCAACGCGAAGAACCUUACCAGGUCUUGACAUCCUUUGACCACUCUAGAGAUAGAGCUUUCCCUUCGGGGACAAAGUGACAGGUGGUGCAUGGUUGUCGUCAGCUCGUGUCGUGAGAUGUUGGGUUAAGUCCCGCAACGAGCGCAACCCUUAUUACUAGUUGCCAGCAUUUAGUUGGGCACUCUAGUGAGACUGCCGGUGACAAACCGGAGGAAGGUGGGGACGACGUCAAAUCAUCAUGCCCCUUAUGACCUGGGCUACACACGUGCUACAAUGGAUGGUACAACGAGUUGCGAGACCGCGAGGUUUAGCUAAUUUCUUAAAACCAUUCUCAGUUCGGAUUGUAGGCUGCAACUCGCCUACAUGAAGCCGGAAUCGCUAGUAAUCGCGGAUCAGCAUGCCGCGGUGAAUACGUUCCCGGGCCUUGUACACACCGCCCGU
rnacentral:rRNA from 1 species